CUAUGACCUAGACCCAAGGGGUGGUCUUGCUGUCUACUGGGACGAGUGUUGCACAUCAAUUAAUAUAAUCAAGAAAAUCCCUACAGACACUAUCACAGGUCAACCUUUUCUAUGCAGUUGAUCCCCAUUGAAACUCUCUUCCCAGGAGCACAGAGUAGCAUGAGGGAGAUACUUCAAAAUAUCUUUAAAGAAGCAUGAAAAGAGAGUCUCCAAGAUGCCUGGCUUUGAAAUACGUAAUUGAACAGAGACUAGAAGUGGAGUCUAUUGAAAUGAACCUACACAGUGGAGAUAAAGCUCUGAGUACUUUAUAAAGACAGCCUACCUGACAUAUGGUGGACCCUUCCAACAUGGAAUUGAAAUAGUCAAAUUAAGAUGAACUGCAGAGGCUGCAAGGAAAACAAAUAAGAUAACAUCUGCAACUGACCCAAUUCUACUCAAGUCUAGCUUGGUGAUCAAUGAGUUUAAUUGAAAUUACUGACAAGAGCAUGAUCAACUUACAAAUUGCUAUACCACUGAAAAAAAACAUUACUCCCUCCCUUAGUGGCCACUAACCACAUUUGUACUUGUGAGGGCAACAAACUCUUUAGCUCCUUCUCUUC